GGUUUCCUACGGGAGGCAGCAGUGGGGGAUAUUGCACAAUGGGGGAAACCCUGAUGCAGCGACGCCGCGUGGGCGAAGAAGUAUUUCGGUAUGUAAAGCCCUAUCAGCAGGGAAGAAGAAAUGACGGUACCUGAGUAAGAAGCACCGGCUAAAUACGUGCCAGCAGCCGCGGUAAUACGUAUGGUGCAAGCGUUAUCCGGAUUUACUGGGUGUAAAGGGAGCGCAGGCGGCACGGCAAGCCUGAUGUGAAAGCCCGCGGCCCACCCGCGGGCCUGCCUUGGGAACUACCUGGCUG
rnacentral:rRNA from 1 species